UUUCGAAGCAUGGUGUCGAGCAAAAAACGUAGUUUGAUGGCCUCGCCAAUGCGCCUACAAAUCGCCGAAUGGGCUCAUUUUCGUCAUGACACCUGCCGAACAAAAUGCGCUAAGGAGACUCCUUCCACUACAUGGCAUUUAUGUAGUGUUUUUUUCCGAAGUAGCUGCAAGUAACAUCGUGGCUUUGUGGUAGGAUAUCUGCUUGCCAGGCAAACAGCCCGGUUUUGAUCCUCAAUGGGACCGAAGAUUUUUAUUGUUUAUUUUAUUUGCAUCUUUCUCGAUUUUUCGCUCACGGACGAUUUUUCACUCACAAGCAUUGGUAGUGACGCCGACACCCGAAUUUCUGCGACAUGAGCUCCUUUGGCUCCUUUGGCAGUUUGACUGGUUCAUUCUUUCAGCGUUAUGUAUCCACUGACCUGCACACUUCUACCUGACUAGCUCAGCUAGUUCUGACAGAUUUGCAGUUAUUGACAGCAAUAUGAGGGUCAGAUCUCGGCUUGCAGAGUAAGGUAGGUAUAAUGAUUUGCGAUUGCAGUAUUCUGACAAGUAUCCUUGUAUGUUAUACAAGUUUUUAUCAUCUAGUGAAAGCCAUGUUUCAGACAUGCAAACGAGGAAAAAGGAAAUUUUGAAAAUAUGUACAAGUGCAUCAUUUCAUCGUAAUUUCUUUUUAGGGAACAUGUGUUAAAGUGAAUUGCUGAUAAAGAAGAACUAUUUAAAUAGCAAUCUAACUUAUCACUAGUAAAAUCGGACGGCAAGAUGUAGUAGCAAGGUGGUGGGAAAUGAAAGUGAGGAUGAGGAGCAGAGAUGUGAGGUCUAGGAGGAGAGAAAGGAAAAUGGGAGAAUGUGUAUGGAGAGCGAGAUAAAGAUAGAAAUAGUAGAAACAGAGGAAGAGAUAGAAAGAAAGGGAGGCAACAGAGAAACAGAUAGGAGGGGAGAGAGCGAUUACAGAGAGAGAGAGAGAAGUAAGAAAGGGAAGGAACAGAGAGAAAGCUAGAAGGCGAGAGAACGAGUGCAGAGGGAGAGAAAGAAAUGACAAAGGGAAGGAACAGAGAGAAAGAUAGAAGGCGAGAGAGCGACUACAGAGGGAGAAAAAGAAACAAGAAAGGGAAGAAACAGAGAAAGAUUGAAGGCGAGAGAGUGAGUACAGAGGGAGAAAAAGAAAUAAGAAAGGGAAGAAACAGACAGAAAGAUAGAAGGCGAGAGAGCGACUACAGAGGGAGAAAAAGAAACAAGAAAGGGAAGACAAAGAGAAAGAUAGAAGGCGAGAGAGCGACUACAGAGGGAGAGAAAGAAACAAGAAAGGGAAGAAACAGAGAAAGAUUGAAGGCGAGAGAGUGAGUACAGAGGGAGAAAAGAAAAGAAAGGAAGAAACAGAGAGAAGAUAGAAGGCGAGAGAGCGACUACAGAGGGAGAGAAAGAAACAAGAAAGGGAAGACAAAGAGAAAGGUAGAAGGCGAGAGAGUGAGUACAGAGGGAGAAAAAGAAAUAAGAAAGGGAAGAAACAGAGAGAAAGAUAGAAGGCGAGAGAGCGACUACAGAGGGAGAGAAAGAAACAAGAAAGGGAAGACAAAGAGAAAGAUUGAAGGCGAGAGAGUGAGUACAGAGGGAGAGAAAGAAACAAGAAAGGGAAGAAACAGAGAGAAAGAUAGAAGGCGAGAGAGCGACUACAGAGGGAGAGAAAGAAACAUGAAAGGGAAGACAAAGAGAAAGAUUGAAGGCGAGAGAGUGAGUACAGAGGGAGAGAAAGAAACAAGAAAGGGAAGACAGAGAGAAAGAUAGAAGGCGAGAGAGCGACUACAGAGGGAGAGAAAGAAACAAGAAAGGGAAGACAAAGAGAAAGAUUGAAGGCGAGAGAGUGAGUACAGAGGGAGAAAAAGAAAUAAGAAAGGGAAGAAACAGAGAGAAAGAUAGAAGGCGAGAGAGCGACUACAGAGGGAGAGAAAGAAACAAGAAAGGGAAGACAAAGAGAAAGAUAGAAGGCGAGAGAGUGAGUACAGAUGGAGAAAAAGAAAUAAGAAAGGGAAGAAACAGACAGAAAGAUAGAAGGCGAGAGAGCGACUACAGAGGGAGAGAAAGAAACAAGAAAGGGAAGACAAAGAGAAAGAUAGAAGGCGAGAGAGUGAGUACAGAGGGAGAAAAAGAAAUAAGAAAGGGAAGAAACAGAGAGAAAGAUAGAAGGCGAGAGAGCGACUACAGAGGGAGAGAAAGAAACAAGAAAGGGAAGACAAAGAGAAAGAUAGAAGGCGAGAGAGUGAGUACAGAGGGAGAAAAAGAAAUAAGAAAGGGAAGAAACAGAGAGAAAGAUAGAAGGCGAGAGAGCGACUACAGAGGGAGAGAAAAGA